GGGGCAGGGGGAUGGUGGGCCGGCGGGUCUGUGGAUUAAGCAUAACAAAUUUAUGGAAGGGUGCUGAUUUUUGUUGCCUUCGUUUAGGACGUUCUCAGAUUAUGCCAGGGUCCCAGAUAUAGUGUCAUCAGCGCUGCCACCUGUCUGGAGUUAGGAUUGUGUGUGCGUGUGGCUGGGUUAAGGCUGGGCAAUAAAUUUAUUUUAUUUGGAUAUCAUGGUACAUUAUGCAACCUUUUAUUUAGCAUAGAAGCAUUUUGGUGCCUAACCUUUUUAACCGAUACAUGGACUUCUUUUAACCUUGUGCCUAUAAUAGAACCAUGAGUGAAUUCACUUCAAGUCCCCUUUGUUGGUUGCUUUCACCCCUACAUUGAGACCCACAGUGGCAGUAUUCUUUGGACUACAAAGCAUUUUGAUUUGAGAUUUUCCAUAGAAAAGAACAUACAGUAUAUGGCUAGGUCUAAUUCCUGUCUGGAAAAUUGACCCUUAGAAUUUUCAGGUUGGUCUGAACCAAAAUGAGUAAGAUGUGUAAAUGGUGCCAUGAGCCAUGGUCUGACCCAAAGAACCCAACUUUGUCUGGUCCAAAAGCUCUGAUUUUCAGCUCUGUUUUGGUAAUUUGGUAAUUGUAUUGGUGUGCAAUUAAUCAAAUGUUAGAUUGUGUAAAAGAUCGUUGUGAUUUUUGCCCUAUUGCCCACCCCUACCAGGGGGGUGGAGCUCUGGAAGAGAGAUAGGAUGUGGACUCCAGUGUCUCAGGUGUUCAGCUGUAAGGUGUGUGUGUGUGUGGUAUCAGUCCAUCAGCACUUUGCCCUGCUGUUUCCUCUCCAUUCUGUCCUCCCUUUACGAUGACUCUCUGCUUUGUCCGCGUAAAGCCAUACCCCAGCGUUCCCCAGCGCUUCAGCCGGUGCCCAGGCAGCAUCUGGAUGUUGUUCAAAGUGAUACCAGCAUUAUCUCAUUUUAGAUGGACUUUCUGUUCCAGGGCUCUAAACUAGACUAACUAGACUACUGAGAGAGUGCUGUGCCAUGUUGGAGCUCUACUUUGGUACAAGGCCUGUUUCCCAUCAAACUCGGUGCAGAGUUAAACUGAUGACCGUUUGGCAAUGUACCGGCCAUUCUAACCACUGAGUUAUGAUAUAUAAUUUUUGCAGCUGGGGUUGGAACAAAGGUUUUGUCACUGUUUUCAUUGGUAACAUUAGUUUUCUUUCAUUAAUCUAAAACUAAGAGUAGUUAACACCGGGAAUCCUUGACUUAUUCUUGGUCCUAACUAUUCUAGCCUUCAAGUCUGCUAAUAAUAUAAAGUCAUAUGUCAGUUGUAAUGUAAGAGCUUGGGAAUACCCACACCUGUUUAAGUUGUGCGGUGUUACCUUGUGUGUAAACUGGCCAGUGUGCUCAUGAUAGCAAAGUAACGUAUUAUGGGAGGGGAAGAAAGACCUGAUAGUGGGUGCCAGAUGGAUGUGACAUUCCAUUUCUGAAGUUCAGGAAUUUAACAAUCCUCGAUCCACAGUGUGACGUGUACCAGAAAUGUGAUCUAGGGAAUUGUUACCCAUAGUAGACAGCACAGUGGCUUACUGCACGUUAACAAACUCGUUAACUGGUUCAGACCAGAAAAAACAAACUUCAGGUGUGAGAAUGCCCUCUUUACAUAGGUAAAGACUAAGAUUUUCAAACAUGCUUUGAAAAUAUCAGAAGGCCACCAGUUUCUCUAGAGCUCAAUCAAAGGGCUAAUGGUUUACUCCUUCACACCAUCAGCACCAGUUACUUCUAAAAAAGCUUUCAACCUAGAUAUCAGUUUGAGUGAAAAUCCUGAUUCAUUUGUCUUGAAUUUGUCUUGUGUCAGUCCAAAAUUAGUAUGUUUUCAGUUUUACUUAAAGGACGUACAACAGUAAGCUAACAAUGUAACACUUAUUUGACUUAACAGUGGUGCACAGGGAUUAACAGCACUUGUUUCCAUUUAUUUCAGAUGUAAUCUUGAAGUCAACACAUGAGAAGUAAUGUGGAAGUAAGGACACGUCUAAAUUUCACGUGUUGAAGUUGCAAUCUGAAUAGUUGAUAUUAAUGCACAAAGUUAAAGGCCACUCUUCUGGAAAUGAAAAAGCUGUCUAUCUAAAGCCAGGGCAGCACAUUUUGGCCUUAGCUGUGUUCAGAGACAGUCAUGUGAAAUUCAUUUUUAGACACAGAAUUGUGUCAGGGAUGACUUGGAGCUCGUGUUUGAUGGAGAGUGACUAGUUCAGUUUGGGGACGGCUGAGUGUAUGGCUGUCUGAGAUCUGAGAGGGACAGGACUCUGGUGGGGUUGAAUGAGGGCUGGCCUACAUAUUUUUAAUGUAUCAUUGCUGUGCUUGUAGCCUCACUGCAGUACUGAUACUAAUGCAUAUCAGCCCUGAGGUAGUGAUGUGUCUUCGUAUCGUACGCAAUAAUAAAAAAACAUUUUUUUGACAUGCAAAAAAUCCAUAUUGUGUUUAUAACAAUAUUUUUAAUAGCAAUCUAUUUUGUAUUUGUUUUGCUAUUUACUGUGUUUACUUUUAAAUAUUUUUGUGCAGUGUAUGCGUUUCACUGAUAAUUUGUGGUAUUACAGUAUUUAUUUAUUUAAUUCAAAAUCAGGGUCUUGGUAAGUUACUGUUUAUAAAAUAAACCAAUGUGUUUAUUUUUUUGUUUUCUACAGAAGUGUUAUUUUGUGUUUACAUUAAUGCAAAUAGUCUUUUACUUUACUGUUUCAGCAGUUUGUUAAUAGUUAUGAUAUUCCACACUACAUACUCUGUGUGGUUAUGAUGCACUGCAACAUGAGGCCGAAACUUCUCAUGUAUUGUCUAUAUCAUGAAAAAUGAUGAUUAAAUUGUGAUGGAGGCAUGAGAAUUUGCAGUGACGUAUGUAGGCAUAGCAACUAAUCACAAAAUGGAUCAAGACUUUAAUAUUGUAUGUACUAACCUGCCAAACCCACACUAAGAUUAGUAUAUUCAGGAUAUCUGUAGAAUCUAAAAUAUCCCCAAUUUAGCAGAGCCCUAUUUUCAAUGUCCAAACAGUUUUAUUUUUGUUUGUAAAAACUGGUCAUUUAUUUUUGUUUGAAAUGUUGUUUGCUGUAAGUGUAAUAUGGGUGUUAUGCCAAAGUGUCUAUAUUUUCUAAAUAGUAUUAAAGGCUUACAUUUUAUUUACUCAUGCAGAUCUGCAGACAUCUCAGCCAGUAUAUAGUAGGGCUGCACAAUAAUUUAAUAUCCAUAUAUAUUGCAAUAAAAAACAUAUUAAUAAUGGUGAACUGUACACAUUUCCAGUAGUUCUAUAUAUCGUAGAAGGUGCACCGGAUUAUAAGACGCACUAUCAAUAAACGUCUAUUUACUGGUAUUUACUGGAACUUCUAAUUCAGCAGGGCUUGUUGCUGAAGGGCUUGUUGUAGGUUAACUAAGUUAAGUAAAGCUAAGCUAAGUAAACAAAAAAAAAAGACUUUCUUUUAUGUGAAACGAGCUCUGGAUGUUAAUCUACACAGAAUUUUCUCUUGAACACUGUUCAUUUGGGUAAGUAAAGCACACCUGUUUCUUUACAGUAAGCUUAGAUUCCUGGAGACUGGAGCAUUAACAUUAGCGGGAAACCACCAGGCCAAUAUUAGCGGUUGGUCCCACAUAGCUCCUUUUAACAGGCUACAGUCUGAUAUACUCACCUCUGCACAACAAAAGAGCUAGCGUGGUUCGCAGCUUAUGCUAAUGCUGCUCCAGCAGGGCUAGCCAGGGUAGCAACAGGCUACAGACUUGUAAUACUCACAUCUGAACAACAGAAGACCUAGCGCAUAAUCUGGUUAGCAGGUAAUGCUAAUGUUGCUUCUACAACAAUAGCCGGGGUUAGCAGCAGGCUAAUAAUACUCUCCUCUAAACCAGGAAAUAGCGGUUAGAAGCUAAUGCUAAUUCUACUCCAGCGCACUGACGAUUUUUGGGAAAAUUUGGAUUUUACAUGCGCCUUAUAGUGCGAUAAAUACUGUACAUGAUUUACAACAUCUGUCACUGACUGAUGCAAAUAUUACAUUUUUUAGUGGUUUGUAGGUAAAGAUUUGUUUUUUAUGGCUUGAUAUUGCUCAUACCGAUAUCGGAAUGAUCACAUGAACCGAAAUUAUGCAAUAUAUUGUAAUGUACAUUUUAGUAAUUUUGCCCAACCCUAUUAUAUAGUCUAGAUGUUAUAGUUUUAGUGUGUAGUACAAAACUGGGACUAUGGAAGUAUCAAAUUCUAUCAAACAAUAAUUGGAUAUAGACAUCCUGUCCGGUAAACAAACUACUGGUGUGUACAGCUUUAAUCUUACUGAUCAUGUGCAGAAAUUAGGCCUGUUACAGUAAUUACAUUAUUGAUUUAAUUUAAUAAUUUUUUCAGUGUCAAGUAUACGGUCAGAACCUAAUAAAGUAAGUUAGCAGAUAUGUCAGAUUUGUUUAAAAACAAUGGUAUUAAAUUAAAGAAUGUUGUAAAAUUAAUGAAAUUGAUAUUUGAGGUGUUAAUCGCUUGCUAGUAUUCCCCAGUAUUGUUGGAAGGGAGACAGUAAUAAUUGUAGUGUGGUUUAGGUCUGGAAGACUAGAUUUAGACUAGUGUUUUUACUGUGUUAAAAUAUCUCAGGCUAGUUUUUAUUUAGAAUUGGUUAAUGUGCUGAGUUAUAGAAGGAGGCAACGUACCAUCAACUGUGUGUGUGUCCAUGCUUGCUCAAAAGUGUGUGUGUUUGAGUGUGAGAGAGAGCGAGAGAGCGCCUGAGAGUCAACAGUUUGGAGGAAGUUCUCUGUGCUGACCUGUCCACACAAUAAAUGCUCAUUUAUGGCAAGAAUCCAAAAUCAGCCUGACAACAAUCUUGUGACACCAUAACCUUUUUGUUGAAUUGCCCAAUCUGCCCACCUGUUCCCCCCAGCAUUCUGAAAUACUGCAUUUUAGCUGAUGCUCCCAACAGGCUUACAAUGCUAGUGUGGAGCUACUCUGAGCUUUUUAAUGGUGUAUAAAUAGUGUUUUCUUUGCAUGGUGAAUGCUAUGCCUGUAUCUAGCAUUGUAAGAAUUCUGGGCUAGUCAACAAAACUAAAUACUCAUUAUUAUGUGACACUACAACCCCAAGUCAAUUUCACACCGGAACUCUCCUUUACAGCAAUUAAGAUAUUAUUGUAGACCAUAUACACUAUAUUGGCAAAAGUAUCCGCUCGUCUGCAUUGUGUUUGGUGAUGUAAGUCUUUGAUACAGCACGCCAAUGGAAAACCAUUUAAUGAAGCUCUGUACACUCUACUGUUCUUAAGCUAGUAAGAAGUUUGGAGGUCUAUUGUGGAGGCUAUUGUGAAAGGUGUAGUGGUAGUGAUAUAAUAAAAAUAAUCAUAGUGGUAUUGUUUUAUUCACUUGGUGCGGCCUCCGUUUUUGGCUUUCUCUGUUCAGGAGAGGCAGGAGUCGGUGUCGGGGAUGAUUAGGUGCUCUGACCCUGUGAUACACAGCAGCAGUGUGUGUCGGGAAUGACUGGGUGUUUUGGCACCGUGCUGUCGAACAAAUGGCUUCUACACACUGCCAACCUGCUCACCUCACAUGGCUUUCUGACUGUAUGGGGUGUAUGUGGGUGUGAACGAUGUACACACACACGCACACGCACACACAAACGCACACAAACACACGCACGCACGCACGCACACACGCACACACACACAAAAAAAAAACACGCGCGCGCAGGCCACCGCUGCUACUCUUAUCCCAGUUGUGAGGAGGAUUAUGUCACUGUCUGCCUUGCGACUCUGAGGUGGGCUAUUUCUCGAGUUUUCCCUUGACAGUACCUGACUGCUGCCUGAUCCUCAUACAUGAGUGUGUAUUUAAAGGGCAGGGUAUAUCCAGACCUAAUAUAAAUGUAAAGAUUUAUUGAUGCCCUGAAGGUGGAGAUUCAGCUGCUUUGGAAUUAGAACCCUAAUAUUUGACCACAUUCUGAUUUUUGAAAAAAAAAAAAAAAUGUAUGCAAAUAAUUUUACACAUGUGCCGAAGAGUGUGUUCAUGAGAACGGGGGUUUUGCCAUGUUUUCGGUUUUACAGUCUAAUAUUCUCACCUCCAAGGCAUGGUAAGCAGCUAAUGCUAACACUGCACCAGCAGUUCUAGCUGGAGUUUUGCAGCAGGCUACAGGCCAAUAAUACUUUAAAUGACAAAGGCGCUGGAGUUUAAUAACAGAUGGAUGGUGCUGUGCUCGUUAGAUUAGUAGGUUGUGGGGUUUAAUAACAGGUGGAUGGUGCUGUGCUGGUUAGAUUAGUAGGUUCUGGGGUUUAAUAACAGAUGGAUGGUGCUGUGCUGGUUAGAUUAGUAGGUUCUGGGGUUUAAUAACAGGUGGAUGGUGCUGUGCUGGUUAGAUUAGUAGGUUGUGGGUUUAAUAACAGGUGGAUGGUGCUGUGCUGGUUAGAUUAGUAGGUUGUGGGUUUAAUAACAGAUGGAUGGUGCUGUGCUGGUUGGAUUAGUAUGUUGUGGGGUUUAAUAACAGAUGGAUGGUGCUGUGCUCGUUAGAUUAGUAGGUUCUGGGGUUUAAUAACAGGUGGAUGGUGCUGUGCUGGUUAGAUUAGUAUGUUGUGGGGUUUAAUAACAGAUGGAUGGUGCUGUGCUGGUUAGAUUAGUAGGUUGUGGGGUUUAAUAACAGGUGGAUGGUGCUGUGCUGGUUAGAUUAGUAGGUUCUGGGGUUUAAUAACAGGUGGAUGGUGCUGUGCUGGUUAGAUUAGUAGGUUCUGGGGUUUAAUAACAGGUGGAUGGUGCUGUGCUGGUUAGAUUAGUAGGUUGUGGGGUUUAAUAACAGAUGGAUGGUGCUGUGCUGGUUAGAUUAGUAGGUUCUGGGGUUUAAUAACAGAUGGAUGGUGCUGUGCUGGUUAGAUUAGUAGGUUGUGGGGUUUAAUAACAGGUGGAUGGUGCUGUGCUGGUUAGAUUAGUAGGUUGUGGGGUUUAAUAACAGAUGGAUGGUGCUGUGCUGGUUAGAUUAGUAUGUUGUGGGGUUUAAUAACAGGUGGAUGGUGCUGUGCUGGUUAGAUUAGUAUGUUGUGGGGUUUAAUAACAGGUGGAUGGUGCUGUGCUGGUUAGAUUAGUAUGUUGUGGGGUUUAAUAACAGAUGGAUGGUGCUGUGCUGGUUAGAUUAGUAUGUUGUGGGGUUUAAUAACAGGUGGAUGGUGCUGUGCUGGUUAGAUUAGUAGGUUGUGGGGUUUAAUAACAGAUGGAUGGUGCUGUGCUGGUUAGAUUAGUAGGUUCUGGGGUUUAAUAACAGGUGGAUGGUGCUGUGCUGGUUAGAUUAGUAUGUUGUGGGGUUUAAUAACAGGUGGAUGGUGCUGUGCUGGUUAGAUUAGUAGGUUGUGGGGUUUAAUAACAGAUGGAUGGUGCUGUGCUGGUUAGAUUAGUAGGUUCUAGGGUUUAAUAACAGAUGGAUGGUGCUGUGCUGGUUAGAUUAGUAGGUUCUGGGGUUUAAUAACAGGUGGAUGGUGCUGUGCUCGUUAGAUUAGUAGGUUCUGGGGUUUAAUAACAGGUGGAUGGUGCUGUGCUGGUUAGAUUAGUAGGUUCUGGGGUUAAAUAACAGGUGGAUGGUGCUGUGCUGGUUAGAUUAGUAGGUUCUGGGGUUUAAUAACAGAUGGAUGGUGCUGUGCUGGUUAGAUUAGUAUGUUGUGGGGUUUAAUAACAGGUGGAUGGUGCUGUGCUGGUUAGAUUAGUAGGUUCUGGGGUUUAAUAACAGGUGGAUGGUGCUGUGCUCGUUAGAUUAGUAGGUUCUGGGGUUUAAUAACAGAUGGAUGGUGCUGUGCUGGUUAGAUUAGUAGGUUCUGGGGUUUAAUAACAGGUGGAUGGUGCUGUGCUGGUUAGAUUAGUAGGUUCUGGGGUUUAAUAACAGGUGGAUGGUGCUGUGCUGGUUAGAUUAGUAGGUUCUGGGGUUUAAUAACAGGUGGAUGGUGCUGUGCUGGUUAGAUUAGUAGGUUCUGGGGUUUAAUAACAGGUGGAUGGUGCUGUGCUGGUUAGAUUAGUAGGUUCUGGGGUUUAAUAACAGGUGGAUGGUGCUGUGCUGGUUAGAUUAGUAGGUUCUGGGGUUUAAUAACAGGUGGAUGGUGCUGUGCUGGUUAGAUUAGUAUGUUGUGGGGUUUAAUAACAGAUGGAUGGUGCUGUGCUCGUUAGAUUAGUAGGUUCUGGGGUUUAAUAACAGGUGGAUGGUGCUGUGCUGGUUAGAUUAGUAGGUUGUGGGGUUUAAUAACAGAUGGAUGGUGCUGUGCUGGUUAGAUUAGUAGGUUGUGGGGUUUAAUAACAGAUGGAUGGUGCUGUGCUGAUUAGAUUAGUAGGUUCUGGGGUUAAAUAACAGGUGGAUGGUGCUGUGCUGGUUAGAUUAGUAGGUUGUGGGUUUAAUAACAGAUGGAUGGUGCUGUGCUGGUUAGAUUAGUAGGUUCUGGGGUUUAAUAACAGGUGGAUGGUGCUGUGCUGGUUAGAUUAGUAGGUUGUGGGGUUUAAUAACAGGUGGAUGGUGCUGUGCUCGUUAGAUUAGUAUGUUGUGAGGUUUAAUAACAGAUGGAUGGUGCUGUGCUGGUUAGAUUAGUAGGUUGUGGGGUUUAAUAACAGGUGGAUGGUGCUGUGCUGGUUAGAUUAGUAGGUUGUGGGGUUUAAUAACAGGUGGAUGGUGCUGUGCUGGUUAGAUUAGUAGGUUGUGGGGUUUAAUAACAGAUGGAUGGUGCUGUGCUCGUUAGAUUAGUAUGUUGUGGGGUUUAAUAACAGAUGGAUGGUGCUGUGCUGGUUAGAUUAGUAGGUUCUGGGGUUUAAUAACAGAUGGAUGGUGCUGUGCUCGUUAG